UUUUGGUUAUGCGUAUACUUGUGUACGCAAUCGAUGUUGUUUCCACUUCAUCACCAACAACAGCCUCCAUCUGCUCACUUUCUACAACAUACCGCAAGCUUUGUUUGACAUGGAUCCAAAAGACUGGUCUGAUGCAGAGGUGUCUGUAGCUGCCAAAAAUCUUGUUCAGAAUCUCAAAGUUGUCAAUGAUUGUGCAGAGAGGGUUGU